rnacentral:tRNA from 1 species
GCCGACGUAGCCCAAUCUGGUAAGGCGCUAGACAUAAUCGUAAUGCGUUUAACGAAAUGCGAUUUUGGGUGUGUCUCGAAAUUUUUUACCAGAUAACUAGUUUCCGCAAGGAAUUGUAGGUUCAAAUCCUGCCGUCGGCG